CAGGUGCGCUCGUCCCAGCCCCGGCGCCCCCGGCCGCCCCUCCCAGCCCCCGGCCCGGGCCACCGCCCCCGCUCCUGCUCUCGCUCCUGCUCCCGCACUGGGCGGGGCCGCCUCGGGCGCUGCGGAGGGAGCCCCGCGCUCGUCUAUGGCAAAGUUCCUGGCCGAGCUCCUGGGCUGCGCGCUGCCGGCCAAGGGCGCCUCUCCCGCGCCGGAGCCAACAGACGCCCGACCUUGAUUUCUUAGAGCAAGUGGCUCUCCACCAUUGCUGGUCAGAGGGCAGCUUAAGAAAUAGUCAGAGAUACACCACGACAAUUAAGAAAACGAGUGACUGUUUUGUCUUUGAAGAGCUCCUGGGAAAGGGAAUUCCUUCAGCCUCUCCCUCGUGACUCCGUGUGUCUUGCUUUGUGUCAUUUUCUACCCAUGUGGGGGCAGGAGCCUCUGAAGUCUCUGUCUCUCCUCUCUAAAGAUGACUGAUUCGGCGUUGCUGAACCCCCACCAGACUCAUGUUAUAAUAUUCCAGAACCUUCCCAAAUUCGAAAAAAUGCUUCUUAUUGAAAUCAGAGUUCAAUGACUUCAUGCCAGGUGGUUAGGAGAAGAGUUUCCAAAGAAUCUUCUGGCACAGUGCUCAGAAUGGUGGGCUUCCUUUCUGCCAGUAAAUGGUCACGGAUUUCAGCUUUCACUGUGACGUUUGGAAACCACGUCUUCCAUAGUACGCGUGCCACACAACGAAAACAGCCGCCCUGCUCCCACGGUGAGAAAAUGUAAAUAAAAUAGGAGUCCUGUAAGUAUGUGGAGGCCAAAUCUUAAAACAAAGGUGUGUUUGGGGGCGUCCUAAUUAUUUUAGUGGAGCCCAUUUUAUGAUUUUCCA